AGCUGUUCCCCUCUGGAGGUUUGACGACCUUCACACUUGAAGCAUCCGUUCGCGGGUGCUUUUUUUUGGCCGCUC
rnacentral:sRNA from 1 species